UUAUACCUACACCAAAUUAAAUGAACAAGUGAACAAAUACUCAAACAAUUACUUUAAUAAACAAAUAUAUAUAAAAAAAGAAGAGAGGGCAGAUUCAAAGGAUCGAAUUUGUUGCAGACACAACAUUAAAUGCUGCAUUUAAUUAGAGUAGGCAAACCAUAUUCCUUCCUGACGAAGGAGAAUAAUUUGGAGAUAAGAAUAUGUAGGCAACUUGCUACACCGUCACUUUCACUCCAUAUUUUGUGCAUUGUAUAUAGAUAUCACAAUCAUUUUCUUCAACCACCCCUCCUUCUAUAUUAAUCUGAACACAAUCUCAUACAAAUCGGAGGAAAACAACACACAGAAAUCUUCUUGCAAUUGCAACUGCUCGAUCAAACAAAAGAAACCAAACUGCCGUGAAUACAAUUCCUUUUGUUGCUAGGCAAUUCCUCCUCUCCAAAGGCUAUCUCCGUGAGUUAAGGGUGGAGUCAGGAAAAUUCAAGUUAAAGAAACUAAACGAACAAGUUGAAUUUUAUAGCUGAGUUGAAGAAGCAAUCAACCGAUCAAGUGAAAAUUCCAUGCAAUGGAACAUUGCAUGGACUUGAGCAUGUUGAAGCUCCCGUGACAUCAAAUGGAGCACGACAUUCGUUCAAGGCUGGAUGUACUGAACUUGAAACCAUCCAAGAAUUGGUUGCUACGAGCGCAGCUGGAAUGCAGGACCACAAAAGGUCGUACAGAGACGAGGUGGCACAAGGAAGAGUGAAGCAGAUUUGAUUGUGUUUUCGGUUAUGAUUAAAGGAUUAAACUUAUAUUAAAGAUUGGUUCUAGAUUGUUCGAAUGCAGUGUAUAAAUAUUUAAUGUUGUUUGGAUAGAAUCAAACAAUGAAUACAUUGUUUUAUCCCUUUACAUUCUAAAUAAUCCAGCUACAUACUUUCUUCUA